rnacentral:rRNA from 1 species
ACGAACGCUGGCGGCGUGCUUAACACCUGCCAGUCGCACGAUGAAGCCAGCUUGCUGGUGGAUUAGUGGCGAACGGGUGAGUAACACGUGGGUGAUCUGCCCCAAACUUUGGGAUAAGCCUGGGAAACUGGGUCUAAUACCGAAUAUGACCGAUACUCGCAUGGGUGUUGGUGGAAAGCUCCGGCGGUUUGGGAUGGGCCCGCGGCCUAUCAGCUUGUUGGUGGGGUAAUGGCCUACCAAGGCGACGACGGGUAGCCGGCCUGAGAGGGCGACCGGCCACACUGGGACUGAGACACGGCCCAGACUCCUAUGGGAGGCAGCAGUGGGGAAUAUUGCACAAUGGGCGCAAGCCUGAUGCAGCGACGCCGCGUGAGGGAUGACGGCCUUCGGGUUGUAAACCUCUUUCACCAGGGACGAAGCGAAAGUGACGGUACCUGGAGAAGAAGCACCGGCCAACUACGUG